AAAUUGAAGAGUUUGAUCAUGGCUCAGAUUGAACGCUGGCGGCAGGCCUAACACAUGCAAGUCGAACGGUAACAGGAAACAGCUUGCUGUUUCGCUGACGAGUGGCGGACGGGUGAGUAAUGUCUGGGAAACUGCCUGAUGGAGGGGGAUAACUACUGGAAACGGUAGCUAAUACCGCAUAACGUCGCAAGACCAAAGAGGGGGACCUUCGGGCCUCUUGCCAUCGG
rnacentral:rRNA from 1 species